rnacentral:rRNA from 1 species
GGUUAAGCGACUAAGCGUACACGGUGGAUGCCCUGGCAGUCAGAGGCGAUGAAGGACGUGCUAAUCUGCGAUAAGCGUCGGUAAGGUGAUAUGAACCGUUAUAACCGGCGAUUUCCGAAUGGGGAAACCCAGUGUGUUUCGACACACUAUCAUUAACUGAAUCCAUAGGUUAAUGAGGCGAACCGGGGGAACUGAAACAUCUAAGUACCCCGAGGAAAAGAAAUCAACCGAGAUUCCCCCAGUAGCGGCGAGCGAACGGGGAGGAGCCCAGAGCCUGAAUCAGUGUGUGUGUUAGUGGAAGCGUCUGGAAAGGCGCGCGAUACAGGGUGACAGCCCCGUACACAAAAAUGCACAUACUGUGAGCUCGAUGAGUAGGGCGGGACACGUGGUAUCCUGUCUGAAUAUGGGGGGACCAUCCUCCAAGGCUAAAUACUCCUGACUGACCGAUAGUGAACCAGUACCGUGAGGGAAAGGCGAAAAGAACCCCGGCGAGGGGAGUGAAAAAGAACCUGAAACCGUGUACGUACAAGCAGUGGGAGCCUCUUAAUGGGGUGACUGCGUACCUUUUGUAUAAUGGGUCAGCGACUUAUAUUCUGUAGCAAGGUUAACCGAAUAGGGGAGCCGAAGGGAAACCGAGUCUUAACUGGGCGUUAAGUUGCAGGGUAUAGACCCGAAACCCGGUGAUCUAGCCAUGGGCAGGUUGAAGGUUGGGUAACACUAACUGGAGGACCGAACCGACUAAUGUUGAAAAAUUAGCGGAUGACUUGUGGCUGGGGGUGAAAGGCCAAUCAAACCGGGAGAUAGCUGGUUCUCCCCGAAAGCUAUUUAGGUAGCGCCUCGUGAAUUCAUCUCCGGGGGUAGAGCACUGUUUCGGCAAGGGGGUCAUCCCGACUUACCAACCCGAUGCAAACUGCGAAUACCGGAGAAUGUUAUCACGGGAGACACACGGCGGGUGCUAACGUCCGUCGUGAAGAGGGAAACAACCCAGACCGCCAGCUAAGGUCCCAAAGUCAUGGUUAAGUGGGAAACGAUGUGGGAAGGCCCAGACAGCCAGGAUGUUGGCUUAGAAGCAGCCAUCAUUUAAAGAAAGCGUAAUAGCUCACUGGUCGAGUCGGCCUGCGCGGAAGAUGUAACGGGGCUAAACCAUGCACCGAAGCUGCGGCAGCGACACUAUGUGUUGUUGGGUAGGGGAGCGUUCUGUAAGCCUGUGAAGGUGUACUGUGAGGUAUGCUGGAGGUAUCAGAAGUGCGAAUGCUGACAUAAGUAACGAUAAAGCGGGUGAAAAGCCCGCUCGCCGGAAGACCAAGGGUUCCUGUCCAACGUUAAUCGGGGCAGGGUGAGUCGACCCCUAAGGCGAGGCCGAAAGGCGUAGUCGAUGGGAAACAGGUUAAUAUUCCUGUACUUGGUGUUACUGCGAAGGGGGGACGGAGAAGGCUAUGUUGGCCGGGCGACGGUUGUCCCGGUUUAAGCGUGUAGGCUGGUUUUCCAGGCAAAUCCGGAAAAUCAAGGCUGAGGCGUGAUGACGAGGCACUACGGUGCUGAAGCAACAAAUGCCCUGCUUCCAGGAAAAGCCUCUAAGCAUCAGGUAACAUCAAAUCGUACCCCAAACCGACACAGGUGGUCAGGUAGAGAAUACCAAGGCGCUUGAGAGAACUCGGGUGAAGGAACUAGGCAAAAUGGUGCCGUAACUUCGGGAGAAGGCACGCUGAUAUGUAGGUGAAGUCCCUUGCGGAUGGAGCUGAAAUCAGUCGAAGAUACCAGCUGGCUGCAACUGUUUAUUAAAAACACAGCACUGUGCAAACACGAAAGUGGACGUAUACGGUGUGACGCCUGCCCGGUGCCGGAAGGUUAAUUGAUGGGGUUAGCGGUAACGCGAAGCUCUUGAUCGAAGCCCCGGUAAACGGCGGCCGUAACUAUAACGGUCCUAAGGUAGCGAAAUUCCUUGUCGGGUAAGUUCCGACCUGCACGAAUGGCGUAAUGAUGGCCAGGCUGUCUCCACCCGAGACUCAGUGAAAUUGAACUCGCUGUGAAGAUGCAGUGUACCCGCGGCAAGACGGAAAGACCCCGUGAACCUUUACUAUAGCUUGACACUGAACAUUGAGCCUUGAUGUGUAGGAUAGGUGGGAGGCUUUGAAGUGUGGACGCCAGUCUGCAUGGAGCCGGCCUUGAAAUACCACCCUUUAAUGUUUGAUGUUCUAACGUUGGCCCCUGAUCGGGGUUGCGGACAGUGUCUGGUGGGUAGUUUGACUGGGGCGGUCUCCUCCUAAAGAGUAACGGAGGAGCACGAAGGUUGGCUAAUCCUGGUCGGACAUCAGGAGGUUAGUGCAAUGGCAUAAGCCAGCUUGACUGCGAGCGUGACGGCGCGAGCAGGUGCGAAAGCAGGUCAUAGUGAUCCGGUGGUUCUGAAUGGAAGGGCCAUCGCUCAACGGAUAAAAGGUACUCCGGGGAUAACAGGCUGAUACCGCCCAAGAGUUCAUAUCGACGGCGGUGUUUGGCACCUCGAUGUCGGCUCAUCACAUCCUGGGGCUGAAGUAGGUCCCAAGGGUAUGGCUGUUCGCCAUUUAAAGUGGUACGCGAGCUGGGUUUAGAACGUCGUGAGACAGUUCGGUCCCUAUCUGCCGUGGGCGCUGGAGAACUGAGGGGGGCUGCUCCUAGUACGAGAGGACCGGAGUGGACGCAUCACUGGUGUUCGGGUUGUCAUGCCAAUGGCACUGCCCGGUAGCUAAAUGCGGAAGAGAUAAGUGCUGAAAGCAUCUAAGCACGAAACUUGCCCCGAGAUGAGUUCUCCCUGACUCCUUGAGAGUCCUGAAGGAACGUUGAAGACGACGACGUUGAUAGGCCGGGUGUGUAAGCGCAGCGAUGCGUUGAGCUAACCGGUACUAAUGAACCGUGAGGCUUAACCUU